GGCAAGAUCAGCAAGCAAAACUAAAAAGUUACAUCUGAAAAAUUUCAAAACCAAACCUGGGAACAAUUAAAGGAUUUGAGAAGAUGUUAACCUGAUUUUUUCACCGCCAAAACAGCCCUGCCGUGGGGGCUUCGGAUUAGAAGUGUUAUCUUUUUUCCUUUAAAUUCUUUUCAGGUCGAUUUCUGGUCUUCACUAAUCACAAUCACAAAUAGGCAAUGGAUGAAAGAGAAAAAAGAAAACAAGGAUUCACUGCAUGCAUGACAUGAGAGCUUGGGUCCCCACCUCCAGAAAGAUUGACACUUCCGGGGCAUUUUAUAUUGGCACCUCAAGCCAUGAGUCCAUGAGGAUGCAGAAGCUCUUUGGUUUGCCAACAGCUCGCGUGAAACUGGAAUGCACUUGACGAGCCAACCAAUUGGCCAUGACAAAGCUGCAAGUCCAAUGCAAGCACCCCAUUGCCCCCAGUCCAGCCUCUCAGUAUUGGCAAACCUCUUCAGAAUCUCUACCAUUACCGAUUGAAGAACUAUGGUAAUUCCAAUGAUUGCUAAAAACAACUUGUUCUCAAGUAACCCCGUAAAUAUAUUCUUCCUCUCCAGCUUCCUGGCAUUAAAUUCGUUGAAAACUUGGCAGAAGACAAAAGUAUUAAAAAUCAGGGUGCUGUUAACCUUCUCGUCUACACCAAAAAUGGACCUUCCUUUGAAUUGUAAAACCAGUAAGAUGGUUAUCUGGUACAAAGCCUGAGCAGUGAGAUUCCUCCACAUGAUUCUGGUUAUAAGUGGCUCUGAUCGGCCAACAGGCGGCUUUGCCAUGAGAUCAUUACUGGGUUUCUCUGUUGCCAAGGCCAAAGCUCCCAAGGUGUCCAUUAUUAAGUUUACCCAUAAUAGCUGGACUGCAGUCAAUGGAAUCUUACCAGAGGAAACAGCUGCAACAAAGUUGAUGACAAGGGCGGCGACAUUCACUGUGAGUUGAAAUUGAAGGAACUUUUGAAUGUUGUUGUACACACACCUUCCCCACCUCAACACUGUCACCACAGAUUCAAAAUUAUCAUCCAAGAUUACUAUAUCUGAGCUCUCUUUUGCAACUUCAGUUCCUUGAAUUCCCAUGGAAAGCCCAAUGUCUGCUUCCUUUAGCGCAGGUGCAUCGUUGGUUCCAUCACCUGUGACUGCGACCACAUGGCCUUUCUGCUUCAAGCACUGCACCAUCAGAAGCUUGUCAAAAGGGGAUGACCUGGCCAUUACACUGAUUUUAUUGAUCUUUUCCAUUCUCUCUUCCGAUUGUUGUAGCCGAGCCCAUUGUCUCACAAGCAGAUAGUUUUCUGACCAUGGCAUUAUCAGCCAUCAUACGCUUCAUAGAAUAAGCCAGAGUUAGAGUCACAGCCAGAGGCAGGCCUUCCGGAAUAGCCACCACUAUGAUAGUGACAGCAGCAGCAACGAUGUUCACCACUGCAUUCAGGACAUCAUCAAACUUUGUCUUGGCGCCAUUAAAUUCCCUGUUUCCCCUGUCAUCUUCUGUGUUUCCUGUGAAGUACCGAAUCAGCAUAACAGCAAGAACGAGCGCAGCCACAGCCAGCCCAACCUUCCCAAUAUACGAAGUCAGCUUGUUCAGGCGUGCCUGCAGUGGCGUCUCCUCAUCCAAGCCACCGUUUAUUGAACCCAUCAUCUGGCCCCACCCAGUGUUCAUGCCCACAGAAGUCACAAGCAUGAAACCACAGCCAUCUGUUAUCUGACAGAAUAUAAAUUAAAUGGUUAGAUUCAUCCUUUACUAUUUUAGCUUAAAAUUUUAGAAUGAAAUAUGAUUCUCUACCA